rnacentral:lncRNA from 1 species
CUCCUCCCAUGUUGUUCUGCGGUGGUGGUCCUCCAUAGUUCGGUGGAGGCGCUCCUCCGUAGUUUGGUGGUGGUGCUCCUCCCAUGUUGUUUUGUGGUGGCGUUCCUCCGUAGUUUGGUGGUGGUGGUCCUCCAUAGUUCGGUGGUGGUGGUGGUGCCCCUCCGUAGUUUGCUGGAGGCCUCUGUCCUCCCAUAUUGUUAUGUGGCGGUGGUGGUCCUCCAUAGUUUGGUGGAGGCCUUUGUCCAUAAUUCUGCCCCAUGGGAGGUGGAGGGGGUGCAGAGCCACCCAUGUGAGGUGGAGGAGGGCCACCCAUGGGAGGACGUUGAGGAGGAGGGCCUCCUGCCAUGUUCUCUCUUCUCCUCUCAAAGUUUCUGCUUCUAUCAAAGUUUUUAGGACGGUCAUUGCGCCUGUUUCUUUCAUUGGCUCUAGCGUUGUUCCUUAUCCAUUCCUCGUGGUACUUGGGGUCAUAAGGAACAGCCUUCCCAUCAAUGAAAGGUUCCCCUGAAAGCCAAAAUUUAAAAUUUAAGUUGAAGUCUCUGAUAAGAUCACUAGAAAGAUGUAAACUCUCAACAAAACAACACCAAUGCAGACUCUAAUACACUAGUCACAAAAUUGAUAUCACUAAUCAAGUCUAAGAUAUGCACACAAACUUCAAGAAGUGUCAACAACUAGUAAUAGAAAGCGGCCAAUGUGAUAAUCCAAUACACAGGCAUGAAGCAAGAAACGAAUCAUAGUGAAGAAAAGUUAACCAAUCCACAAAGUGUAGACUAACUACAGCCACUUCCUCCCCUUAUCAACAGUUGAGAACCAACAAGUAUAAUGGAAUAGCAAAGCAACUCUCUUGUGAUAACACGCAAACCCUUACCUCCGUAGUCUUUGUUUCUCACAUCCAGGUAAGAAUCAGGAAGAACCCAGCGCACCUUUGGCAACUCUGAAGAGUAACAUAAAGCAAUUAGAGAAGACUUUUAACACACAGAAACACCAAAGAAGGCAAUAUUACCUUUCAGCUUGUGAGAGAGAUCUUCAGACACAAGGGCUCCGAAAGCAAAGUAGCACCGAGUCGAAACAGAGUAGAUCUUCAUCCUCGCUUCUUCUUCACUACAACAUUCAAAACCAGACUAAUCAUACAAGUGUUUCCAAAAUGAUUCCAACUAAACUAAACAGAUCACGUCAUAUAAGCUUGAACACUAAACUUCCUACAAGAACAGUCAAUAAAAGAACAAACUUUCGAAUCUGUAGGCUUUACCUGCCAACGAUCUGAGCUAAGGUUUUGAUAUAGCUGUCGAUGAUCUCAUCUCUAGUGGGAUCUCCCUCAGGCGGAUCCACAACCACAAGCCAAUGCUCGAAAUCGCAUCCAUCGAGCAAAAUCGUCUCCUUUGGAGGCCUGUUGGACCAGUUGGGACUCGGAUCGUUCAGAGAAGACGACGUAGCCUGGGACGAAAGGCCUUUGACGGACACAAGUCCACCGCGGAAGGCGGAGGAUAAGGCGGCGACUAAGGGACGGGAUCGGGUGAGGAGAGACGACGUGUAAAGCGAAGUCGCCGGAGAUUUGGCGAGGGGAGCAGAUGAGGAGGCGAAGGAUCGGGUGAAGAGAAAGGAGAGAGAUUUCGCCGGACGGCAGAGAAUGGAGCGAGAAAUGGAAUGCGUCGCCAUGGGAAGAUACAAAACCCUAGAAAGUGUGAUGAGGAGAUGAAGACGAGGGUUUUGCGAAGGUUUAAUAGUGGAUACUGAUACGAGGGCGUUUUCGGUAUUUCGGAGCCGAACAAAAUAUCAACGAAAUAUUCGGUAAUACCCUUUGAUCUUCUCAUAUGUAACAAAAUGGGCCACAAGUUUUACAUAAUAUCCACUACUAAUAUUACUGUAGUUAGUUUGCCAAAUUAGUUGUUUAGUAUAUAAACUAAAUUUUGCAAACCACGCGUGUCAAGAUGUUCCGUGGAUUUUCAAAAGACCCGGAUUCGGAUUCGCACCGUACCAAAUUUUUACAGCGCAUGGCUACUGACCACCGAAACUUUCACAUUCUCUCUCCAGGGAAUUGUUUACCAUUUUUUUUCAAUUUUGCAUGAACAUUGAAUGUGAAUUCUUUAUAAAACUAUCAUUCUUUUAUGGGUUUUUAGUAAUUAAACCCCUCAACUAAAGAUGAAUCGUAAAAAAAACCCUCAACUAAAAAUCCUGUGAAAUAAACCCUCAACUUUAGUUCCGUUAACAUAUGUUACCCUCCGUUUAAAAAACCGUGACAGAGGGUGACAUAUGUUAAAGGUUUAUAAGUUGAGGGUUUAUUUCACUGGAUUUUUAGUUGAGGGUUUUUUUCACGAUUCAUCUUUAGUUGAGAGGUUUUAUCAUUAAAAGUCAUUAAAUGUUAUUAAAUUAUUUAUUAUCAUUUAUACAUUGUUUUAAGAUUUAUAAGCCUUUAAAACUAAUUUAUAAAUUUUAAUACAUUAGUAUAUUUGUAUAUUAUUUUAUACAUCUUAAAUUAAUAAUUUUUAACACUACUUACAACUUAUUAUAACUUUGAAAUAUUAAAUUAUUUGAUAUUUGGAAAUAGUGAUAUAAAAAAAUUUGUGUGUUUAUAUCGUCAUUGUCAAAUAUGAAAUAAUUGAAAGUUUCUAAGUUAUAUUAAGUCUUAAGUAGUGUCGAGAUAAUUCAUCCAUGAAGUCAAUCUUUUUAUUUUGAGUAUGACGCACUUUUUCCUAUUUUCAUGAUUUCUGUCAUCCGGCUCAUACUUCUCUCCCCUCCAAAAUAAUGCAUGAUUAUUCUCAUUGAUUUCUGAAUAACUACAUUAUAUUUUUAUUUUCUUGAUCAAUAAUAUAUUUGAAACAUAAAGUAAUACAAUAAAUCAAGAACAAUAUAGGAAAAUAGGAAAAUAUGAGCUUGAUGACGAAAAUCAUGAAAAUAAGAAAAAAUACGUCAUACUCCAAAUAGAAAGAUUGACUUCAUGGAUGAAUUAUCUUUAACACUACGUAAGACUUAAUAUAACUUAAAAACUUUCAAUUAUUUGAUAUUUGAAAAUGACGAUAUAAACACACAAUUUUUUUUAUCACUAUUGCCAAAUAUCAAAUAAUUUAAUAUUUUGAAGUUAUAAUAAGUUGUAAAUCGUGUUGAAAAUUAUUAAUUUAAGAUGUAUAAAUUAAUUUUAUAAUAGAUUAAUGUAUUAAAAAUAUACAUUAGUUUUAAAGGCUUGCAAAUCAAUCUAAAACAAUGGAUAAUAAAUAACUUAAAAACCCUUUAAUGACUUUUAGUGAUAAAACCCCUCAACUAUUUUUGAAUCGUAAAAAAAACCCUCAACUAAGUUUUUAACAUUAUAAACCCUCAACUUAUAAACCAUUAACAUAUGUCGACCUCCGUCACGGUUUUUUAGACGGAGGGUAACAUAUGUUAACGGAACUAAAGUUGAGGGUUUAUUUCACAGGAUUUUUAGUUGAGGGUUUUUUUUUACGAUUCAUCUUUAGUUGAUGGGUUUAAUUACUAAAAACCCUUCUUUUAUAUGUUUAUAUCCGUGUUCAAAAAUGCAGCUGAGACGGCCGAGUACACAGCGGAAAGACGCUAUCCGGUGAGUAGCCGCGGCGAUUUUGGUAUAUUCGGCCAAAACUCGGAGCUCCACUUUUUUGAAUUUUCAGUGUUCAAAAUCGAAUGUCUAGUGAUAGAUCUAUUAUAAAUGAUUGAAAGCUAUGUGAAUAACAAAGAAAAACAAUGAUAAUCAAUAAAAAAUGAUAUUAACGCUGAAAAUUAAAUCUGAAAUUCGCAGGUUAAGAAAGUAAAAGACGAGGGUAAAUUGGUAAUUUUCAACUUACUAAACAAAAAAUAAUGAUUUAAAGCGAAAAAAACAGAAGAUGUGCUUCAAACCCACGUUGGGAACUUUGAAUACAUAUGGGUAUACCACUGGACCAACAAAGAUCUACGUUUAUGUUGUAAUUAUUUAAUAUAUGUACAUAUAUGUAAAUAAAAUAAUAAAAAACUAAUCUCCGAUUAAUCGUCGAUUAGUCUUCGAUUAUUUGAUUCGGCGCUAGGCCCAAAUCGACCGCACGCAUAGCGUCUAGCGAAAUUUUGAACAUGGGUUUAUACACUAUGGAACUGCUGAUUUUUGGAGAAGUGUUUUUGGUCAAAUGUUCAUGUUUGCAGUAUUUUCACUAGAAUUUGAUUUAUAUUUACGUAUUUUAGAGUUAAGGGAAAUUUGUCUUUAUGAAAAUAAUCUGUAGUUUACAAUUAUUUACUAUUUAGAGGUAAAAUAAAAUAUCUUCCUCGUGUGAACCAACCUUCUAACUGGGCCAGAAGUUAAUGAUUCGACCAUAUACUAACUGUCUAAUUUACAUAAACUCAGUAGAAUAACCUUUGUUUAUUCAUUUAUUAAAGACAUAAAAUUCACACUCCAUUCAGCCAAAUGCUCACAUUACAAAGUCACUCAUCAUCAUCAACAGAAAGAUACAUAAAACCCCUUUUAUCACGUCCCUUGCAGCCUCUCCACAUUUCAUACUUUUGAAUUUACACAAGUGUUGCCUUGGCGAGCUGAACCGCUNNNNNNNNNNNNNNNNNNNNNNNNNNNNGCUGAGCCUUAUCAAACAAGCGUUGCCUUUACAAGCUGAACCGCUUUCUCUCGCCCGUAAAACUUCUCAACAAUCGCAAGUGAAAACUCCAUUGCAGUCCCUGGAGCUCUGCUCGUUAUCACAUUUCCAUCCACAACAACUCUGUGCUCAACGUGGCUCUGGUCCGAAAGUUUGUUGCUCACACAUGGGUGUGUAGUUGCCUUCUUACCCUAUACAAAACAUAUCUCAUAUUAUAACUCAGUUUAAGAUAUAACAAGAAUAUUGAUACUUAACGUUUUCACAAUACAAAUAAUGCACCUUGAGUAAACCAUGAGGCUCAAAGACGUAAACAGGCGAUGCGCAUAUUCCUCCAUAAGGUUUGUUUGCUUCAGCUUGUUUCUUUAACAUAUUCACCAAUUUCUCGCAACUUGCCAAUCUUGGUGCACCGUUAAGACCUCCCUGAAUGUGUUACAUCAAAGAGAUUAGAUUUUUUUUUCGCUUUUGUUAUUUUUUACAAUGAAUCUCUUUGAAAAUAAGCACUCACAGGCAACACAAUCAGAUCAAACGACUUCUCUGCAACUUCAUCAAGAAGCACAUCUGCUACUAACUUAGCUUUGCGAGAUCCUACAACUUCCAAACUGUUACCAACUGCAGCUAUCACGACGUUUGCUUUUGCUCUCCUGAGGAUAUCUACAAGCGCUAUAGCUUCAAUUUCCUCUGAGUCCUCUGCAAUGGGAACGAGAAUCUGAAACAUGGAAACAUUAUCUUUAGAUUCUUUACAACACACUAUGCUCCUAGGAAUCCAUAUAACCAUCAAACAGAGACUUGUCUUGGAGUAUGUUAAAGGACCAAGUGGAGAGGCCGCAUAUGAACAUAUGUACCUGUGGAGUAUCUUGGAAUGACCAGUUCGUUUGGUUAAGCUCGGUAAAGGUAAACUCCUCACCAGGAUUAGGACGAACCAGCUGGUUUCAAUAACAGAACAAGUAAGUCCAAGAGGAGACGACAAAGCAAGUUUGAACACCAUAGCUUAACUACUAUGCUGCUUCUAAUAGAAAUCAUUAAGACAAAAACAUACCAAGCCACUAGAGACUUCAUCAGCUUUGUCUUUACCAAACAACUGCUCAAUAAGAGUGAUGGAGAAUUCAAUGGUGGUUCCUGGUCCUCGACUUGUCACAAUCCUUCCAUCUAUCUCAACUCUUGAUUCACUUGCAGUUGCACAAGUAGCUGCAAGUUUCUCCAUGAAAACCGGGUAACCCGUUGCCUGCAUGCAAGAAAACCCCAAAUUAAUCCAACAAGAACUGAAAACUAGAAGUAACAUUGCUUAGUACUGAUCGCUUAUGACUUACUGUUUUGCCCUCGAGAAGACCCCAAGUACCAAGAGCCAAAGCAGGAGCACAACAGAUAGCUGCGUUAAGUCUUCCAUCUGUGUCUUGUUUCUUCACCAUGUUCUCUAAUGGUUUGCAGUUUUUAAGAGUCUCGCCUCCGGGAAGCCCUCCCUUUUUACCAAUCAUAUAAUCAAUACUAAUAUCAGCAAAACAACUCUGAAGUAUUUAAAAAAAAACAUUAAAAACAGUUAUUCUAUGAACUAGUUUUUUUUUUGGGUAAGAUUCUGUGAACUAGUGUUAUACAUGCAUAAAAGAAAUUAAGCUUUGUACAACCAACUUUAUUUGCAGGGAGUAUUGAACAUCGCUAGUGAUAAUUGAUAUUAUAGAAGCAAACUUACGGGGAGAACAAUAAGGUCGAAAAUAGAGUCGGUGAUAUCGGAGAGGAGAGUAUCAGCGACCAUCUUGAUGUUAUGACAAGCAUCAACGCCAACUUUAUCCUCGACAGACGCCACCGUCACGUCAGCACCACCUCUCCGCAAGACGGUGAUCAUCGCCACUGCUUCAAGUGGCUCGGUACCGUGAGCAAUAGGGAUCAUAACCUACAAAAAAAACCUCGGAUCAUCAAGAUAAACUCCAAAUAAUAAUUAAAAAGAUCCGUUACGUACGAGGAGGGAAAGAACGAUGACGUACCGUCUUAGUAGAUGAAGCCAUAGUUUCUAAGAUUCGAGAGAGAGAGAGAGAGAGACAACUGUAGAGUCACGAAGAUUGUAUAUUGAAUAAUGGAGUUGGAGUUUAGUGAAGAGAAAGGAGUGUCACUUGUGGGGUUAAUAUAGUGCAGAGUCUCCACUUACGACUUUAUUUUCUAUCUCACUUUGAUCAAAAGCUAGACGUACAAGUUAGACGUGUGCGAUGACGUAUGCACCGGGGAAAAAGCAGAUCAUGAAGACGUGGCAAGCCAUGAUUGGUAGAAUGUGGCAAUGUCUUUACUUUGAGUGUUACACGUCAUCGUAUUGGAUAAAACCUAAAUGUCCUAUUUUGCUUUCGAGUCGCGUGUGGUUGGCGAGGAAAAAAGGUGUUGGGACAAACGAGAUUACGUCCCGGUUCUUGAUAUAGUUCAUGCACGUGUUGCUGUUUGUAGCAAGUUGACACUUGUAGCAGAGUAAACCAGAUGAAUGUAUGCGUGAACCGGGAUAUUCUUUUCUAAAAUAGUGUUCAAAAUGGUUUGUGGUUGUGUUAACGGGUCAAAAAAGUACCAACUCCCACUCUCUAAAUAGAUUUCACACAUUAUUCGUUAACCAAAAUGGAUUAUAUAUGACCCCAUGAAAAUUAUUGAUAGGGCUAAAGAUAGCGUGUGAUGAUUUUGUAUGCAUGAAGAUAUCAUUCUUUUGGGGUUGGGAUUAAAUCUUUGAACUCGAAGAAGAAUCGAAGAUCUUGCCUCGUAGCCGGCAGAAUUGUCUUCCUUUUUCACCUGGACCAGUUAUAUAUAUAUGGUUUGGUCAGGAUUUGAAACUCAAAAGUCAUAGUAUUCAUUUUAUUUGAAUAUUUUCAUUAAAUAUAUCUCAAAUGGUAUUUGGAUGUUUAGUAUAUAUCUUGAAUUAAUGGCGCCUACGAAUGUCUUUUGAAUAGUAUUACUAGAUGACAAAAGUAUUUUGGAUAUUGAUGAUCUAGUAUCAUGUGGGAUCAUAUCCGUCUUUUUAUCUUAACUAGUCGGGAUUAUGAGAAUAUUUUUUUGUCUUUUGGGUUAAUAAAGGAUAACGAAUGGCAUUGUCUCGACACAAUACAAGACUGACAAAACACUGAAGACAAAGUCUUGCUACUGUACUCUCAAUCGCUUCCUCAGAUUAUCUAUACAUGUCCAGAAUGCAAUAUUAAAAGAAAACCCACGACUGGUUCCAACUACUUUAACCCUGGUAUGGGUUCCCGCUGCCAGCUCGUUUAGGUGGAUAGUUGUUCUGGUGCUGUGCCUGCUGCGUUCCACCACUCUGCUCCUGGUCGUUGUUGUUAUUACGUGAACAUCCUGCAUUUGGUGGACCUUCUCCCCUGUUGUUCUGCGCUGGUGCUCUUCCCAUGUUGUUCUGCGUUGGUGCUCCUCCCCUGUUGUUCUGCGCUGGUGCUUCUACAUAGUUUGGUUGAGGCCUUUGUCCUCCCAUGUUCGGUGGUGGUGGUGCCUCGUAAUUCUGCUCCAUGGGAGGUGGAGGGGGUGCAGAGUCACCCAUAGG